rnacentral:rRNA from 1 species
CUUAUUCUCGGUAAUGCAAAGGGGGACACGUCCCCCACUUUAUUCCCGUGUAAAAGAAGUUUACAAUCCAUAAGACCUUCAUCCUUCACGCGACUUGGCUGGUUCAGGGUUGCCCCCAUUGACCAAUAUUCCUCACUGCUGCCUCCCGUAGGA